CGCAAGGGAGAGUAACGUGUGGUUACUUGCCCUCGAGACCGGGAUAGCGUUGGGAAACUGGCGGUAAUACCGGAUAACAUCUUCGGAUCAAAUGGUGUGAUUCCGCUCGAGGAUAGGACCGCAUACUAUUAGCUUGUUGGUGAGGUAACGGCUCACCAAGGCUGCGAUGGUUACCGGGUGUGAGAGCAUGGCCCGGCUCACUGGGACUGAGACACUGCCCAGACAUCUACGGAUGGCUGCAGUCGAGAAUCUUCGGCAAUGGGCGAAAGCCUGACCGAGCGACGCCGCGUGCGGGAUGAAGGCCCUCGGGUUGUAAACCGCUGUCAGUUUGGAGGAAAUGCAUGGUGGUUAUCCAUCAUGUUUGACCGAUAUUCAGAGGAAGGACGGGCUAAGUUCGUGCCAGCAGCCGCGGUAACACGAACCGUCCAAACGUUAUUCGGUAUCACUGGGCUUAAAGCGUGCGUAGGCGGCUUGGUAGGUGAGAUGUGAAAGCCCACGGCUCAACCGUGGAAUUGCGUUUCAAACCCCCCAAGCUCGAGGAAGAUAGGGGUGAUGGGAACUUAUGGUGGAGCGGUGAAAUGCGUUGAUAUCAUAGGGAACACCGGUGGCGAAAGCGCAUCACUGGAUCUUUUCUGACGCUGAGGCACGAAAGCUAGGGUAGCGAACGGGAUUAGAUACCCCGG
rnacentral:rRNA from 1 species